AACGCGAAGAACCUUACCUGGCCUUGACAUCUACGGAACCUUGCAGAGAUGCAGGGGUGCCUUCGGGAACCGUAAGACAGGUGCUGCAUGGCUGUCGUCAGCUCGUGUCGUGAGAUGUUGGGUUAAGUCCCGCAACGAGCGCAACCCUCAUCUUCAGUUGCCCACGGGUCAGGCCGGGCACUCUGAAGAAACCGCCGGUGACAAGCCGGAGGAAGGCGGGGAUGACGUCAAGUCCUCAUGGCCCUUACGGACUGGGCUACACACGUACUACAAUGGUGGUGACAGUGGGCUGCGAAGUCGCAAGACGGAGCCAAUCCCCAAAAAACCAUCUCAGUUCAGAUUGCACUCUGCAACUCGAGUGCAUGAAGUUGGAAUCGCUAGUAAUCGCAGAUCAGCACGCUGCGGUGAAUACGUUCCCGGGCCUUGUACACACCGACUGUAC
rnacentral:rRNA from 1 species